UACAGAGGUCUCAAGCGUUGUUCGGAUUCAUUGGGCGUAAAGGGUGCGUAGGCGGCGUGGUAAGUCGGGUGUGAAAUCUCGGGCUUAACUCCGAAACUGCAUUCGAUCCUGCCGUGCUUGAGGACUGGAGAGGAGACUGGAAUUUACGGUGUAGCGGUGAAAUGCGUAGAUAUCGUAAGGAAGACCAGUGGCGAAGGCGGGUCUCUGGACAGUUUCCU
rnacentral:rRNA from 1 species